UAGUGCUCAUAUUGUCAAAUAAACAAGUAUAAAAAGGCAGCCUAAAUCAAGAAUUCAUAAAAGGAAAAAAAAAUAUCAUAGCUUUCAUAGUAAAUUACUAUAUACAAAUGGCAAAAUUUCUUGGUUUAUUUUUUAUCCUCUUUGUUGCUAUUGCAUCAGAUAUGGGAAUUGUUCCAAAAGUAUAUGGAAAACUAUGCAUUGGUGAAGUUGGAU